rnacentral:tRNA from 1 species
GGAUCCGUCGUAUAAUGGCCAGUAUAGCUGCCUCCAGAGCAGCUGAUGGGGGUUCGAUUCCCUCCGGGUCCA